rnacentral:rRNA from 1 species
GACGAACGCUGGCGGCGUGCUUAACACAUGCAAGUCGAGCGGAGCGGCGAACGGGUGAGUAACGCGUGAGUAACUGCCCCCCUCUCUGGGGUAACAGUUGGAAACGGCUGCUAAUACCGGAUAGUGGGGGAUGACUCGCGUCCUAUCAGCUUGUUGGUGGGGUAGUGGCCUACCAAGGGGACGACGGGUAGCCGGCAUGAGAGGGGGACCGGCCACAAUGGGCUGCGAUAGGGACCAGACUCCUACGGGAGGCAGCAGGGGGGAGUAUUGGACAAUGGGGGAAACCCUGAUGCAGCAGCGCGCGUGCGGGAUGACGGCUUUCGUGUUGUAAACCGCUUUCAGCCAUGACGCGGUAGUGGCAGAAGAAGCACCGGCUAACUACGUGCCAGCAGCCGCGGUAAUAC